rnacentral:rRNA from 1 species
UGUGUGUCGUAGUUAACGCGUUAAACAGGGCGCCUGGGAAGUACGGCCGCAAGGCUAAAACCCAAAGGAAUUGACGGGGACCCGCACAAGCAGUGGAGCGCCUGGUUUAAUUCGAUGGUCAGCGAAGAACCUCACCUAGGCUUGAACUGUAGCUGCACACUCCCAGAAACGGGAGAAUCCUUCGAGGGUGCUACAGAGGUGCUGCAUGGCUGUCGUCAGCUCGUGUCGUGAGAUGUAGGGUUAAGUCCCACAACGAGCGCAACCCCUAUUCAGUGUUAUAAUUACUCUGAAGACUGCCCUGUCCAAACGGGGAGGAAGGAGGGGACGACGUCCAGUCAUCAUGUCCCUUAUGUCUAGGGCUACACAGACGCUACAAUGGCCGGUACAAUGGGUUGCCAAACCGCGAGGUGGAGCCAAUCCCAUCAAAGCCGGUCCCAGUUCGGAUUGCAGUCUGCAACUCGACUGCAUGAAGUUGGAAUUGCUAGUAAUCGCGAAUCAGCACGUCGCGGUGAUACGUUCUCGGGUCUUGUACACACCGCCCGUCAGGGCACGGGAGUCGCUCUUGCUCGAAGU